rnacentral:rRNA from 2 species
GCACAGGAGAGCUUGCUCUCUGGGUGGCGAGUGGCGGACGGGUGAGGAAUACAUCGGAAUCUACUUUUUCGUGGGGGAUAACGUAGGGAAACUUACGCUAAUACCGCAUACGACCUACGGGUGAAAGCAGGGGAUCUUCGGACCUUGCGCGAUUGAAUGAGCCGAUGUCGGAUUAGCUAGUUGGCGGGGUAAAGGCCCACCAAGGCGACGAUCCGUAGCUGGUCUGAGAGGAUGAUCAGCCACACUGGAACUGAGACACGGUCCACACUCCUACGGGAGGCAGCAGUGGGGAAUAUUGGACAAUGGGCGCAAGCCUGAUCCACCCAUACCGCGUGGGUGAAGAAGGCCUUCGGGUUGUAAAGCCCUUUUGUUGGGAAAGAAAUCCAGCUGGCUAAUACCCGGUUGGGAUGACGGUACCCAAAGAAUAAGCACCGGCUAACUUCGUGCCAGCAGCCGCGGUAAUACGAAGGGUGCAAGCGUUACUC